GGACAAGGAAACAUCAAGACUCUCGGGGAUGCCUACGAGUUUACUGUGGACAUGAGAGACUUCUCCCCUGAAGACAUCAUUGUCACCACCUCCAACAACCACAUCGAGCUGGCAGCUGAUGGCACAGUCAUGAACACCUUUGCUCACAAGUGCCAGCUACCAGAGGAUGUGGACCCUACGUCGGUGACCUCGGCCCUGAGGGAGGAUGGCAGCCUCACCAUUCGAGCACGUCGUCACCCACACACAGAACAUGUCCAGCAGACCUUCCGGACGGAGAUAAAAAUCUGAGGGUCUCCCCACCCCUGGCCUUCCCCCCAUCUCCUCCCCCACUGGCCUGCUGGUGAGGUCGCCAUGACCCCUGACAAUGCCCCCCCCAGAACAUCUCAGCCUAGGCCCCAGUCACUCCACACACUCUUAGGCCCCAGGUGGGUCACCCCUGUCCUCUCUACCCAAGGCAAUCCAGGGACCCGCUUACCCUCACCCAGAUAGGCCCUCCCUAUCUUAGUUUACAAUAGAGGGGCUGAGGUAGCCACUUGGGGAGCAACAUGAAGACGGAGUCCGUAACACAGGGUGGCAUCAAUGGCAUUUCUGCAGGGCAGGGGACCAGGGGCCCUCCCAGCAAGGGGAAUAUGAGAGACUGGCCACAAGCAGUGCUUCUGGCCCAUGCAGACUGCCUCAGGGAAGGCAGAGAGACAGCCAUGACUGUCACCU
rnacentral:lncRNA from 1 species